ACAUGCAAGUCGAGCGAAUUUCAAGAAGCUUGCUUUUUGAAAGUUAGCGGCGGACGGGUGAGUAACACGUGGGCAACCUGCCUGCAAGACGGGGAUAACUCCGGGAAACCGGGGCUAAUACCGGAUAAUAUCUUCCUUCGCAUGAAGGAAGGUUGAAAGGCGGCGCAAGCUGCCGCUUGCAGAUGGGCCCGCGGCGCAUUAGCUAGUUGGUGAGGUAACGGCUCACCAAGGCGACGAUGCGUAGCCGACCUGAGAGGGUGAUCGGCCACACUGGGACUGAGACACGGCCCAGACUCCUACGGGAGGCAGCAGUAGGGAAUCUUCCGCAAUGGACGAAAGUCUGACGGAGCAACGCCGCGUGAGCGAAGAAGGUCUUCGGAUCGUAAAGCUCUGUUGUCCGGGAAGAACAAGUACCGUUCGAACAGGGCGGUACCUUGACGGUACCUGACCAGAAAGCCACGGCUAACUACGUGCCAGCAGCCGCGGUAAUACGUAGGUGGCAAGCGUUGUCCGGAAUUAUUGGGCGUAAAGCGCGCGCAGGCGGUCUCUUAAGUCUG
rnacentral:rRNA from 1 species